UACGUAGGGCGCAAGCGUUGUCCGGAAUUAUUGGGCGUAAAGAGCUCGUAGGGGGCUUGUCACGUCGGGUGUGAAAGCUUGGGGCUUAACUCCAGGUCUGCAUUCGAUACGGGCUGGCUAGAGGUAGGUAGGGGAGAACGGAAUUCCUGGUGUAGCGGUGAAAUGCGCAGAUAUCAGGAGGAACACCGGUGGCGAAGGCGGUUCUCUGGGCCUUACCUGACGCUGAGGAGCGAAAGCGUGGGGAGCGAACAGG
rnacentral:rRNA from 1 species